UGGCUCCAGUGCAGGUCCCUUAGCCUUCUGGCACAGAUCCUUAACCCUCCCCACCACUGGGCUUUGAGCCUUUUGGGUGCAGAUCUUUGAUACAGGCUUGGAAGGGCCAUUACCGUGAGCACUAGGGCUCCAACUGGACUGGUGGAGGACAUUGCAGUGGGAUCCUGGCUGCCGGCUGGAUUCCUCGGGUCUCUAGAACACAGACAGAGCUCUCUCACUCUUCUGGAUUUGACUUUUUUGGAAGAUUUCAGCUAAGUGGGUUUCAAGUUGGAGAGUCUUCAAUGAAAUUCUUUCAGCUCGUAUUUCUUUAGGCCACCUAUAAUAUUUUCCUCAAGGCUCCAUUCCUUGAACUUCAAAGCCAAACCUAGUUUACUCUUUCUCAGAUUGCCUUUGGUGAUUCUUCCUCCAUUAUUACAUCUCUAUCUCAGUACAAACUGGAAAGCUUCUUUUUAAGAACUCAGGAUCAUCAUUGCAUCAACAGACUUAAAGGAGAUUGACUACAAUUUUUAUUUGUUAAAAUGCAUGAAAUAUUGAUAUUAACUUU